rnacentral:rRNA from 1 species
GAUGAACGCUAGCGGCAGGCUUAACACAUGCAAGUCGAGGGGUAGAGGAAGCUUGCUUCCUUGAGACCGGCGCACGGGUGCGUAACGCGUAUGCAAUCUACCUUAUACAGGGGGAUAGCCCAGAGAAAUUUGGAUUAAUACCCCAUAGUAUAAUUGAAUGGCAUCAUUUAAUUAUUAAAGUUCCAACGGUAUAAGAUGAGCAUGCGUCCCAUUAGCUAGUUGGUGUGGUAACGGCACACCAAGGCGACGAUGGGUAGGGGUCCUGAGAGGGAGAUCCCCCACACUGGUACUGAGACACGGACCAGACUCCUACGGGAGGCAGCAGUGAGGAAUAUUGGUCAAUGGGCGCAAGCCUGAACCAGCCAUGCCGCGUGCAGGAUGACGGUCCUAUGGAUUGUAAACUGCUUUUGUACAGGAAGAAACACUCCCUCGUGAGGGAGCUUGACGGUACUGUAAGAAUAAGGAUCGGCUAACUCCGUGCCAGCAGCCG